UCUCCUUCGUGCUAGCUUCACCCUUUUGUUGCCCAGUUGAUUGUUUGGAUGAACUACCAAAUGCAAGGUUUCUCCUGAAGGAUCCGAUUGGAGGCCAACCCACCGCCGGAGCUGAAGCACCUCUACAUCAGAUUAGAGCGCCGGUCUUGAACUUUUGAUGAUGAGGGUAUUAUCGGCCGUCCCGGUUGUGCACCAAUGGCGGUUGUUUCCUCGUGACCUGGUCGUCGAACAGAACGCCUUCUUCGAUCGGGCCGCAAAUCCUUUAGCAUGCGUGGCUCUUUCCGCUGGAAAAAUCCCAAAUCUGUAAGCUUUUGCUGUUGAUGGGCUCCCUUACGUCCAUGCCUGCUGGUCUGCGUGCGUGUACUGCCUGCAGACCAUGUACUUUUCAUGCCCAUCAUCGGCUCGGGCAUGCCUGUCUUCAUUCUCAAAUGAUGUCUCGAGGCUACAAAUAAAGACCAGCGUGCUUUUCUUAACUCUCAGGAAGACCUAUGCACAUUAAUGCUGUCAUGAAUCGUUAGAUAGAAGAGGAUAGCCAGCUGAUGCACGGAGCCUAAGAAUUUUUUCUUUCUUUUUGAGAGAACGAGAUUUUAAAGUUUUAGUAUGUGUCAGCAGCCAAACUAUAUAUUGUAUGAGCGAACUAUUAGUUGGUUGUUAAUGAUGUGGUAAUAACAUGAAGGGAACGUAUCAGCGGUGUACCGCUGAGCCUGUCAACA